rnacentral:rRNA from 1 species
GACGAACGCUGGCGGCGUGCUUAACACAUGCAAGUCGUACGGUAAGGCCCUUUCGGGGGUACACGAGUGGCGAACGGGUGAGUAACACGUGAGUAACCUGCCCACAACUUUGGGAUAACGCUAGGAAACUGGUGCUAAUACUGGAUAUGUGCUCCUGCUGCAUGGUGGGGGUUGGAAAGCUCCGGCGGUUGUGGAUGGACUCGCGGCCUAUCAGCUUGUUGGUGGGGUAGUGGCCUACCAAGGCGGCGACGGGUAGCCGGCCUGAGAGGGUGACCGGCCACAUUGGGACUGAGAUACGGCCCAGACUCCUACGGGAGGCAGCAGUGGGGAAUAUUGCACAAUGGGCGCAAGCCUGAUGCAGCAAAGCCGCGUGCGGGAUGACGGCCUUCGGGUUGUAAACCGCUUUCAGCAGGGACGAAGCUUUUUGUGACGGUACCUGCAGAAGAAGCACCGGCUAACUACGUG